AGAACAUUAAACUAUGACAGUAAUAACAAUAAAACAACAACAAGUAAAUCGGUGCUCAUUUUUCUCAAAAGAAGUAAAUCGGUGCUCAUAUAUUUAGAAAGAAAAGAAUUGCAAUCGAUGCUAGCACGCAUGGCAAGCUCCAGCAGCUUCUGGUCGGUGCAGCCAAUAAAGAAAGCAAUCCACACAAAAGAAAAUCCCCCCCGAGACCACUACUCCGUGGACAUCGCCAUUCCUCCAGCAGCGCUGCUGCUCUUCUUGCUCUUUCUCUUUAUCCAUCCACAUCCAGUGCGCCGACAAGCCCACCCCAUCAGCGGUGCUCUCCUUCCUCUCAUCUCUAUCCGUGCUCUAGCCACACACCACCCACGCGCCCUUCUUGCUUCAGUCGACGGCUCCUCGUUCCCCUCUCCCUUCCCUCCUCCACAACUAACCAAGCACCGCCCUCUCAUGGUUCACGUUCGUCGGCCGGUUGCAGGCGGCUCCUGUUGGCCGAGCCUGCGCGCGCGGGGGCUGGCUGGGCCGAUGGCUGAGGCGCGGCAAUGGUGGCCUGCUCACGGUCGAGCUCGGCGGCUACUUGACGGGGCCGCGUGGAUCUGCCCCGAGGCUCCGGGCUCCGGAUCUGCGUGGUCAUGUCCACCUCACCCUCCGACGGCGCCUUACUGCGGCGCUUCGGGCCCAGAUCUCGCCGGUUGGCGCGUAGAUGUGCGUGCGCUCGGCUUGAGGUAGCGCAAGGAUGAUGGGGCAGCUUGGAUGGUGGCCCGUGCAGUGUGCGGCUGCCCUCAGAACGCAGGCGUCCCACGAUGACGACGCAGGGGGGUGCAGCAUCUGGUCCAGCAUGGUGCGGAGGCCGGCGGCGACCUCGUGGCUCUCUCAGCAGAACUCGGGCUGCGGCGCGACGCCAAGCCACGCCUGCACUCUGCCGUCAUCUGGACGCAUGCCAUGAUGGUCACGCCCUCAAGCUCCAUGACGGAGGACCAUGGAGGCGCGCGGAGCGAGGCGCAGAGGAACGGAUCUGGUCGCGCAGAGGCCCACUUGCGGGAGAGGCAGGGAGGCGGCCAUGGCAGGUCGUUUUGGAGGGAGGCGUCCAUGGCAUGGGACGGCGGCGGCUGAGCGCAGCGCCGGCGCUCGAGAAGACGACGGACCAUGGAGGCGCGCGGAUCGAGGCGGAGACGCACGGAUCGACGCGGAGACGCACGGAUCUGGCCGCUCCCAGGUCAGAUCUGGCCGCAGUGGAGCUCCACAUCGGGAUCCAUGGUGCUCCAUCGGGAUCCAUGGGCCAGAGACAAGAUUUGUGAGAGAGAGGUCAGGAAGGGAGAAGGGAGACGGGAGAAUAAGAGAGAUAGGGCGCGCGGGAGGAGUUACGGGACGAAGGCUGGAGGUCGGUAGCGGUGGCGCUGGACGCCGGCGUGAGAUGCAAGCCAGAGGGAGAAAACCGUGAGGGAGAAAACCGGGAGGGGGGAAAGAAAAUCAGUGGGACGAGAGGUGGGUCGGGACGGGAGGAAAGAAAAUCGGGAGCGAGGGGGUCGUACGAAAGGCUUGACGAACAUAAGAGGGGAAACGAAACACUACGUUUGUUUUAGAUAGUAGAGAUAGAGAUAUAUAGGUGUGUUGGUUCAGUAUUUUUUUCAGAAUUUUUGAGAACUUUUGCACCGUUUAAACCCUUAUAGAAAAUGCUACUCCUUGUGAAAUA